CUUUUUGGAGAGUUUGAUCCUGGCUCAGGACGAACGCUGGCGGCGUGCCUAAUACAUGCAAGUCG
rnacentral:rRNA from 2 species